UAUGGAGCGAGGUUAAGCAGGAUAUGCGGAGCCGAAGCGAAAGCGAGUCUUAAGAGGGCGAGAGUUGCAUGCAGUAGACCCGAAACCGGGUGAUCUAGCCAUGACCAGGUUGAAGUUGGGGUAAAACCCGAUGGAGGACCGAACCGACCCCCGUUGAAACGUUGGCGGAUGAGUUGUGGCUAGGGGUGAAAUUCCAAUCGAACCCGGAGAUAGCUGGUUCUCCCCGAAAUAGCUUUAGGGCUAGCGUCGAGGUAAGUUGCGUGAAGGUAGAGCACUGAAUAUGUGAUGGCCCCAUCUCGGGGUACUGAGCAUAAUCAAACUGCGAAUGUCACGCCAACAUGCUCGGCAGUCAGACAGCGGGUGAUAAGGUCCGUUGUCAAGAGGGAAACAGCCCAGACCAUCAGCUAAGGUCCCAAAAUGUAUGCUAAGUGGAAAAGGAUGUGGAGAUGUACAGACAACUAGGAGGUUGGCUCAGAAGCAGCCAUCCUUUAAAGAGUGCGUAACAGCUCACUAGUCGAAUGACUCUGCGCCGAUAAUUUACCGGGGCUAAGCAUACUACCGAAGCUAUGGAUCCCAAGGGAUGGUAGGGGAGCGUUCCAUGAACGGAGAAGUACGACCGAAAGGACGUGUGGAGAUCAUGGAAGAGAGAAUGCCGGUGUGAGUAGCGGAACGUGGGUGAGAAUCCCACGCACCGAAAACCCAAGGUUUCCAGAGGAAGGUUCGUCCGCUCUGGGUAAGUCGGGACCUAAGGCGAGGCCGAAAGGCGUAGUCGAUGGACAACAGGUAGAGAUUCCUGUACCCGUAUAUAUGUGAAGGAAUGACGGAGAGAGGAAGCUGCAGCCAGCGGCUGGAAGAGCUGGUGCAAGCGAGAUAUCGGGAUGGCAGGCAAAUCCACCAUCCGAAACGAGAAGGCGUGAAGCGUACGGAAAGCUACGGCGAGUACGGAAGGCAGUGGAGGAACUUCCAAGAAAAGUUUCUAACGUAAAGUAUAUAUGGCCCGUACCGAAAAUGGACACACAUGGGUGAGGAGAGAAUCCUAAGGUGAGCGAGAGAACUAUAGCUAAGGAACUCUGCAAAAUGACUCCGUAACUUAGGGAGAAGGAGUGCUCAUAGAGAUAUGAGCCGCAGUGAAACGGCCCAAGCGACUGUUUACCAAAAACACAGCUCUCUGCUAAGCCGCAAGGCGAAGUAUAGGGGGUGACGCCUGCCCGGUGCUGGAAGGUUAAGGGGAGGGGUUAACGCAAGUGAAGCCCUGAACUGAAGCCCCAGUAAACGGCGGCCGUAACUAUAACGGUCCUAAGGUAGCGAAAUUCCUUGUCAGGUAAGUUCUGACCCGCACGAAAGGCGUAACGAUUUGGGCGCUGUCUCAGCUGUAGACUCGGUGAAGUCUUAGUACCUGUGAAGAUGCAGGUUACCCGCGACUAGACGGAAAGACCCCAUGGAGCUUCACUGCAGGUUGAUAUUGGGAUUUGAUGCAGCAUGUACAGGAUAGGUAGGAGGCAAAGAGAUGGAUACGCCAGUAUUCAAGGAGCCGCUGUUGGGAUACUACCCCUGUUGUAUUGGAUUUCUAACCGGACGACGUAGAACCGUUGACGGGACAGUGUCAGUCGGGCAGUUUGACUGGGGCGGUCGCCUCCCAAAGAGUAACGGAGGCGCCCAAAGAUACCCUCAGCUUGGAUGGAAACCAAGCGCAGAGUGCAAAGGCAAAAGGGUGUUUGACUGCGAGACCCACAAGUCGAGCAGGGACGAAAGUCGGGCUUAGUGAUCCGGCGGUGCUGAAUGGAAAGGCCGUCGCUCAACGGAUAAAAGCUACCCUGGGGAUAACAGGCUGAUCUCCCCCAAGAGUUCACAUCGACGGGGAGGUUUGGCACCUCGAUGUCGGCUCAUCGCAUCCUGGAGCUGAAGUCGGUUCCAAGGGUUGGGCUGUUCGCCCAUUAAAGCGGUACGCGAGCUGGGUUCAGAACGUCGUGAGACAGUUCGGUCCCUAUCUGUCGUGGGCGCAGGAAAUUUGAGAAGAGCUGUCCUCAGUACGAGAGGACCGGGAUGGACGCAUCAAUGGUGGACCAGUUGUCACGCCAGUGGCAUAGCUGGGUAGCUAAAUGCGGAAGGGAUAAACGCUGAAGGCAUCUAAGUGUGAAACCCA
rnacentral:rRNA from 1 species